GAGCAGCGAGCGCCAUGUCCCUGUCCGUCGCCGGCGCGCGGACCUCCACCUCUCCCCUCCCCUCUUCGUUCGCCGCCUCUUCAUCCCGCCCGCGCCUCCUCGCGCUUCCUCUCCACCGCCGCUCGCACGGCUCCCUCGCCUCGCCGCCGGCCGCGGGCAGGCGGCGGCUGCGGCGGCUGCUCAGGGUGCGCAUGGCCCGGACGGAGUCCACCGGCGUAGGUAUCGGCUUCCGCGCGCCGGAGUUCGAGCUCCCUGAGCCACUGACCGGGAAGCUCUGGACGUUGGAUGACUUCGAGGGCAACUCUGCACUGCUUCAACACCCGAAUCUAGAUACGUGCUCAGUUCUAUUGCUGAUUGUUGUCAGCUCUUACAGAGCUACAGUCUUUCAUUCUGAACCCAGUCUGACUUGUUUCCUCUUCAGGUUAUGUUCAUAUGCAAUCACUGCCCAUUUGUGAAACAUCUGAAAAAGGACAUUGCCAAGCUCACCUCUUUCUAUGUGGAGAAAGGACUUGGUGCUGUUGCCAUAUCGUCCAACUCAGUUAGGACGCAUCCCCAGGAUGGCCCAGAACACAUGGCUGAAGAAGCAAAGUUGUUCAAAUAUCCUUUCCCAUAUCUUUAUGAUGAGUCACAAGAAGUAGCUAAGGCUUUUGGAGCAGUCUGCACACCUGAGUUUUACUUAUUCAAAAAAGAUGGGCGAAGGCCUUUUGAACUUUUCUACCAUGGACAGUUCGACGAUUCAAGACCCAGUAACAAUGUGCCAGUAACUGGAAGGGAUCUAAGCCGUGCAAUUGACUGUGCGCUCAGUGGCCAAGAACUGCCCUUUGUACAAAAGCCAAGCGUCGGCUGCAACAUCAAAUGGCACCCAUGAGGUGCUCGUAACUCAUAGUGUCGCGCUGUGGCGAGAAACAAAGCCAUGUUUCACUUCUCGGUACAAUACAAAGAUGGAACACCUGAUUGAGGUGCACUGAGGGCUGAAUUUGAAGUCAGUGUUGACUGCCUUUGGGAACAGAGUUGUGGGGGCAGAAACCUGGGAGCUUUUCUUGUGUAACAGGGGCAAUAGUGUAGUGUAGCGCUAGCGCAGCAACCAGCAAAAGGCCCGUGUAAAGAAUUGUUUACACAGAAGUGCUUUACUUACCUUUUCUGAGGUCGCACAAGAUGUCCGUUUCACGUGGUAAUCCCAAAAAGCAGUGAUAUUAUAUUACCUUAUGAUA